AAGCGUUGUUCGGAUUUAUUGGGCGUAAAGCGCGUGUAGGCGGUUUGUUAAGUCUGAUGUGAAAGCCCUGGGCUCAACCCAGGAAGUGCAUUGGAAACUGGCAGACUUGAGUACGGGAGAGGGUAGUGGAAUUCCGAGUGUAGGAGUGAAAUCCGUAGAUAUUCGGAGGAACACCGGUGGCGAAGGCGGCUGCCUGGACCGAUACUGACGCUGAGACGCGAAAGCGUGGGUAGCAAACAGGAUUAGAUACCCUGGUAGUCCACGCCGUAAACGAUGAGUACUAGGUGUUGCGGGUAUUGACCCCUGCAGUGCC
rnacentral:rRNA from 1 species